rnacentral:tRNA from 1 species
GGAAGCGUGCCCGAAAGAUAAGGACCCCCUUGAUAGGGAGACCGAUAUGGGUUCAAACCCCAUCACUUCCU